CCCAAGAGAUCGGGAUAACACCUGGAAACAGAUGCUAAUACCGGAUAACAACAGAUGAUGCCUAUCAACUGUUUAAAAGAUGGUUCUGCUAUCACUCUUGGAUGGACCUGCGAUGCAUUAGCUAGUUGGUAAGGUAACGGCUUACCAAGGCGAUGAUGCAUAGCCGAGUUGAGAGACUGAUCGGCCACAUUGGGACUGAGACACGGCCCAAACUCCUACGGGAGGCAGCAGCU
rnacentral:rRNA from 1 species